rnacentral:rRNA from 1 species
UACGGAAGGCAGCAGUGGGGAAUAUUGCACAAUGGGCGCAAGCCUGAUGCAGCCAUGCCGCGUGUAUGAAGAAGGCCUUCGGGUUGUAAAGUACUUUCAGCGGGGAGGAAGGCGAUGCGGUUAAUAACCGCGUCGAUUGACGUUACCCGCAGAAGAAGCACCGGCUAACUCCGUGCCAGCAGCCGCGGUAAUACGGAGGGUGCAAGCGUUAAUCGGAAUUACUGGGCGUAAAGCGCACGCAGGCGGUCUGUUAAGUCAGAUGUGAAAUCCCCGGGCUUAACCUGGGAACUGCAUUUUGAAACUGGCAGGCUUGAGUCUUGUAGAGGGGGUAGAAUUCCAGGUGUAGCGGUGAAAUGCGUAGAGAUCUGGAGGAAUACCGGUGGCGAAGGCGGCCCCUGGGACAAAGCUGACGCUCAGGUGCGAAAGCGUGGGGAGCAAACGAGGGAUAGGAUACC